rfam:Lysinibacillus sinduriensis BLB-1 = JCM 15800 contig1, whole genome shotgun sequence.
AUUACCUUUUAAUGAAUUGUCCAGAGAGGCAAAGAAGGGGAAUUUGGCAAGUGGGUACAUCAGUAUUGAGGUACCUUAGCUUGUCAUACCUCCUAGCCUCGCGAAUCAACUUUGCGAGGCAUUUUUUCU